CUCUGGCACCUCACUCUUGUCAACCUGCAGGUACCACCAGGAUUUAGCUGUCCAAGUCAACAUGGAAAAAGGAGACUGAGCAAAACUGAGGGUUUUAAACCUGUGUCUGUGCUUAAGUAUUGAGAUGAAAGAAAAAAACUUCAAAUUUUCUCAAGCUGAUUCAAUAUAAAUGUCUAGAAUACCAAGAAUCUACUGAUGAGAACUCAACACACGAGAAGGAAUGCAUGCCUGACACCAUCUAGAGGCUAACACAGAGACCUAUGGUAGAACCAAACAUGACCAGCAAACAAACAAACCAAAUUCUGCUACUUAUAAAACCAAGCCUAGCAUUAUCAUCAACAGAGAGGCUUCAUCCAGCAACUCAUGGGAGCAGAUGCAGAGACAAUCAGCCAAAGAAAAUUCUUCUGAAGAGGCUGGGGAUUGUAGAAGUCAGAGGAGUCAAGAGCAUCACAAUAACAGGCCCCAAAGAAUCAACUAACCAAAGUUCAUAGUGGCUCGCAGAGACAGACCCAAAAAACACAGAUCCUGGAUGGGUCUAAUCUAGAUCAUCUGCAUAUAUGUUGUGUAGAUUGAUGUAGGGUGGACUGUGUUUGUCUUUUUCCCUUGAUUUUGAAACCCCUUUCCUCAUACUGGUUUAUCAAGCCUAGCCUUAAUAUAAGGGGACUAAUCUUAUUGUGACCUCAUAUGCAAUGUUUGGCUGAUAUCCCUGGAAGCCUGCUCUUAUCUGAAGGGAAAGGAGAAUGAAUAGACAUGGGGAAGAGUUAAGGGGAGGCAGGGAGAUGAUGAGAGAGGGAAGCUUCAGUAGGAUGUAAUUAAUAUAAAAAUGAAUAAAUAAAAAUGGAAAAAGAAAAAAGA